UACGUAGGGGGCAAGCGUUGUCCGGAAUCAUUGGGCGUAAAGAGCGUGUAGGCGGCCCGAUAAGUCCGCUGUGAAAGUCCAGGGCUCAACCCUGGAAUGCCAGUGGAACUGUCGGGCUGGAGUCCGGAAGAGGCGAGUGGAAUUCCUGGUGUAGCGGUGAAAUGCGCAGAUAUCAGGAGGAACACCAAUGGCGAAGGCAGCUCGCUGGGACGGUACUGACGCUGAGACGCGAAAGCGUGGGGAGCAAACAGG
rnacentral:rRNA from 1 species